GGGUUGUGAGGUUAAGCGACUAAGCGUACACGGUGGAUGCCCUGGCAGUCAGAGGCGAUGAAGGACGUGCUAAUCUGCGAUAAGCGCCGGUAAGGUGAUAUGAACCGUUAUAACCGGCGAUUUCCGAAUGGGGAAACCCAGUGUGACUCGUCACACUAUCAUUAACUGAAUCCAUAGGUUAAUGAGGCGAACCGGGGGAACUGAAACAUCUAAGUACCCCGAGGAAAAGAAAUCAACCGAGAUUCCCCCAGUAGCGGCGAGCGAACGGGGAGGAGCCCAGAGCCUGAAUCAGCAUGUGUGUUAGUGGAAGCGUCUGGAAAGGCGCGCGAUACAGGGUGACAGCCCCGUACACAAAAGCGCAUGUGUUGUGAGCUCGAUGAGUAGGGCGGGACACGUGGUAUCCUGUCUGAAUAUGGGGGGACCAUCCUCCAAGGCUAAAUACUCCUGACUGACCGAUAGUGAACCAGUACCGUGAGGGAAAGGCGAAAAGAACCCCGGCGAGGGGAGUGAAAAAGAACCUGAAACCGUGUACGUACAAGCAGUGGGAGCCCCACCACUAAGCCAGUGGUGAACUCCACAUACGCAUCCUUUGCUGAAGGUGCGGUUAACGGAGCGCAAGCGACGUUCAACCUCAAAAGAAGCAGAGGGGGCUUAGUGGUGGGGUGACUGCGUACCUUUUGUAUAAUGGGUCAGCGACUUAUAUUCUGUAGCAAGGUUAACC
rnacentral:rRNA from 1 species